CUAAGCCAUAACUAGAUAUAAUUUCAUGCAAACACAUUUAGGGUGAAUUCUCUUUAAAGUGGAUUUAGCUAGCAUAAUGAAAACAGUAACCACAAGGCCUUGAGAAGACAGAGGAAAAAAAGACAGUAUAUUUGGCCAGUACAAUAAAAACCCUGACACCCUUUUAUGGAUUCAGACCUAAAUAAUCUGUAUUGAAGGAACAUGUGUAAAGGGAUUGCUUAAAAGAAAAUGUUGGUUAGCCCUCUGUUUUCUAAUAAACGAUUUACUAAUAAACGAUUUACUUCCGAUAUUGAAACCCUGUCCUUAAUUUUUCUCAUCACUGGGAAGAGCCAGGCCAGCCAGUUCUCAUUUUUCAAUCGGCAUGUUUUAUCUCACAUUUGUACUGACUUGAAACAACAGUUACACUUGCAGCUCCAGAAAGCAAAGAUGAAACUUUGUUCUUGCUUUUGUGUUGAGCUGUACAAUUUAUUUCUCUCCUGGCAACGGAUUUGAAAUCUCUCUUCCUCCCCCUCUCUCUUUUCUUCCUUUUCAUGGGAACUGUUUGGUGAGUGCCGACAAAGCGCUGUGUGUGUGUGUGUGUGUGUGUGUGUGUGUGUGUGUUUUCCCUUUGCCUGGUUUCUGUGUCGGUGUGUGCAGGCACGCAUUCAUUAACGUAAUUCCUCAACAUCCAACAAGAGUGCAUCAUAAACCCGGGAGAAAAAGCCUCAUAAAUAUUUAGAUGCUCCUACCUUCCAAACUAGAGUGAAAAACCGUAUUUAGAGAGGAGUUGGUCUGGGUUAAUCUGCAUGUGAAUCGAAAAGAGGGACAAAAGGAUGAAAAGGUGAUGGAAACUCGAAUACAAACCCUAUGGUCUCCAGGGGGUCAUUCAUCUUGCUCUUGUCAAUACCGUCGCAGGCUUGGCUUUUUUCUGCGCAUGAGCAAACAGAGCAGUUUUCCAAAGACAGCUGGCAAAAGAUGUGGAUGCUUUGUUCUAUCUUGUAGUUUUUUAAGGAAUGAAAUUGCUUUGCACUUCAUAUUUGACUGACUUAUUCAUUCUUCUUAGUUGCUGCUAUCCAUACGAGUGAUGCAUCUAUAUUUAGUGAUGUCUCUAUUACACAUGCAGCUUAAAUUAAAUUCGGAAGGGAAGACUACAAGCUUUGCCUAUCUCCUUCGUAGGAAUCUGGGGAUCAGCAACACUUGACAGCUGAAAUCACUGGAGGCUCACCAUUGCAAAGAGUGAACACUGGCUCCUGAACUAUUCGGUGGAAACUGCUGGGCCAUGGAAGCUCCUGUAGCUGGGCAGAUGAGGUCCAGGUAGAACAAACUGUGAGGUUUAAUGAGCCCGAAGAUUUUCUCCCCAGAUCCGAGGCCUCCUUCUGACUCUUAAAGAGGGAAAAUAGAUCGUGAAUGGCAGUAUUUCUUAGUUUUGUGAAGUUAACCAAUUAUUUAAUUCAAUUCCAAUUAAAAAUAAAUGACAGGUCCAAGGACUCUUUUUGUUAUUCUCUGAAAUGUUUUCUAAUAUUUUUCUUUGGUUAACAUUAUACAGAAACCAGGAUCUUUACUUCAGCAAUGCAGAUCUUGCAAACAAUUUUCAAACAGAGCACAGAAUCUGAACACUCUCUCAAGCCACCUGGGACCAACCUGAACUUUAGGACAUAUAGGAAGACUAAAGCCACAUAACACUUUGGGGUUGAGAGACAGAUGAGCUAAAAUUGAGCUAGCAGGCAAGGAGUAGUGUUUUUUUUGUUUAGAAUUUAAAAAAUAAAACUAUUAGCUAACUUCCUAGCAAAUUUGCCUUUUGGAAAUUUUUUCCUUGUGUUCUUUUUCUUCCUCAUGCAGUUUACCUUUACUUCCUUUCCUAGAAUGACCAUCAUUAAUGACUGCUGUACAAAGUGGUAACUGCUGAUCACAGUGUCAAGUGAAGGAUAAACAACAAUGAUUAAUUUUAUAUGCUCAGCAUUUUUUAAAAGCUAUAUUAAGAUGCCAGCAGAGUUUCCCAUCCAGGAAGUUCGAUGAUAGACAUUAAGAACCAGGUCAUGGGAAAUACAUAUCAUGGUGCUAAUAUGCACACAUUAUGUUAUAAAUAAAAAUUCUAUCACAUCACAGCAGCAAGUUUCAAAAAUAAAGUAACCCAUGUUGCCUCCAACACUCUGUGUGGAGAAGCUGCUGGGCUGGUAGGAAAUGACCCUCUGACCAAGAGGACAGAGAGAAUGAGAGGAGUCAAGCAGUGAGGAGAGCUCUUGAACUUGAGACGGAAUAGGGGAGGGGAAACACCAUGAGGGAGGGCCAAGGCCUGAGCUCAGAUUUGUGUCAUUCCCAUGACAGCUCAAGGACAUGUCAAAGAUUUUGCCUUGGGAAAAUCUGUUGUAAAAAUAAGUGAUUCAAGGUUUUUGCUGUAGUUCAUAGCAUUACCCUCACUUGGUACAUAAUUGUUGCAUACAAGUUGCAAGAAGCCAGUUUUGUAAAAAGACCUAUCAAGAGGAAAAUUCUCAUCGAGCCCUUGUGAUGUCAGGGAUUCAGUGAAUAGUUCAGAGUGAAUCACGCCCCCAGAGAUCUAGUGAUAACGUAUCAUCCUUUGGUAACAACAAAACAUACCAUGCAAAUGUAAAUUUUGUUCAACAUUAGUAUUAUAAUGGAUAUGUGAUUCACUGUGAAGCCAGACUCAUAAUUAUAAAACUGUUUAUUUGAAAAUUCUUUUUUCCUUUCAGUUAUCUUGAUUUAAUUGUGUGUCUUCGGCUUAAUUUUGAAAUGAUGCUCUGAAAACCACUUUGAUACCUUGAAAACCACUGAGAGAAAAUUUUGGUUCCAUUGGCAAAUUUUCUGAGGCUAUAUGGUGGCCUGGGGGCUGGCCAGUGGUGACAGAUCCAGGGCAAUGGAAAUCCUGGUCUCUGGGAUCUGGUCUUGCCAAAGCUGAGACUUCCAGGGGUUCCCUUGGAUAGAUCAAGCUCACCUCAGGAAAGGCCCUGGGGACCUAGAGCUGUCGUGAUCUCCUUGUUGCUUCAUCUGCAAUCUCAUGAAACUGACCUGCAGAAGCCAUUUGUGAGUAUAGGUACAUUUGUCUCCUCCCACCACUCUCAGAUUUUAAGCUCCUCAAAACAUGAGUAAUUUCUUCCCAUGGUAUCUGAUUUUAAACAUUGGUGGUGGGGGCAGGCUUGGUGGCAUAGUGGUUAAGUUUGUGCACUCUGCUUCGGCAGCCUGAGGUUCAUGGGUUUGGACCCCAGGUGCAGACCUAUGCAUUGCUCAUCAAGCCAUGCUGUGGCAGCAUCCCACAUACAAAAUAGACAAGAAUUGGCACAGAUGUUAGCUCAGCAACAAUCCUCCUCAAGCAAACAGAGGAAGAUUGGGAACAGAUGUUAGCUCAGGGCCAAUCUUCCUCACCAAAAUAACCUCCAGAAAACAAAAAACAAAAGUUAGUGGGGACGGGGGAGCGCUCAUUGCUUUACUUACCAAAUGUCUGUUGAGACAGGGAGAAAGCAAGGUUUUGCUGAGUGGGCAGGUGGGGCAGAUGUCCCUGCUCCUUCCCUCACCUGUGUGUGCUGGCUGUAGCUGCCUGAGCCAGAGAUUGGAAGAAGCCCUUGAACCAGGCUAAUGUAGCCCAACAGUUGCUUGGACAUCACAUUUCAAACCCUGGGUCAGCCCACAACUGUCAGUGUUUGAACAGAAUAAUGGGAUCAAUGCAGUUGUUGUGGGAGCUCCUGCAAGUGUGGUAGGGUAUGUGCCUGUCCACUCUGGUCCUGGACCCUCCAGAGGAUGUGCUCUCCCAAGGCGCCUCUGCUAUCUGCCAGCUCAGUUGUUCAGAGGGCAGGAAUGCAGGGACGCAGUUUCUUCUUGGCCACAUUUGCCCCACUGCUACAGAGCUGUUUCUACUGUCCGGGAGCUGAAAACCGGGUCUUGAAGAGCCUGGAGGCCCUGGGCCAGCAGCUUUGGAUCAACCGUUGUUGCUGCUGACAACACAGCCAGCCUGGGAUCAAGGCUCCUUUUCAUCAAGUUAUUUGUCCUUUUACUUCCUAGUGUCAGCAGUCCUGGGAACAGGAAAUAGUUUGUGCAAUAGGAAGCGGCAGGAAACUGAUGAUUAAUUACUUUUGAGCUUUGUGGAUACAGUAUCAACGUAAAUAAGGUAUUUACACACAUUCCAAACCCCAUGUGCAUUGAUAAAUAUGAGCUAUAUCCAGGCCUUACUCUUUUCAAUUUUAAAAACAAUACUGUUUUUAAAAACAAUACUGAAAGCUUACUGAGUGCCAGGGAUUUUGCUAGGCACUUCAUGUUAUUCACUCCAUAAUCCUGACAACAUCCUUAGGUCACAUUCUCCUAUUUUACAUGUGAGAAGAAAGAGGCAAAGGUAGUUUCUGUAGCUUUGGUAAGAGGCAGGGCUGAGAACAUGAACCCGGGGCCUCCUUGGCUGCUGCCCUGUGCUCAGCUGCCUCCUCCAGGCACCAGCCAACUCUUCAGGAUAAAUGUUUUAGGACUUUGUUUCACUGCUUGGGUUUAAAGAUAAUUCAUCUACAUAUCUGUGACAAAGCAUUUCUAUGGCUUGGCAGGUGGUUAUGUAGUGGGGCUAAGGUAUUAUUAUUUCACAUUUUCAGAGAGCUGAAGGAAGUACUUAUUAGACACCAAUUGUCUGAGCCUAGAGAUGAAAGGCCUCCUUCCCCUACCAGGCUCAGUGCUGAGCCAGCCACUACUGUCCCCACUUAGUAUCUGCUCCCUGCCCCCACAUUGAGUGACAGGGCCUGGUUUGGCCAUUUGAUUAAGGGAAGGUGUGUCUCCAUAAAAUGAGGCACCGGACUAGCUGAAAUGUUGAAAUCUGGUCAGCUGAGGGAGAGGAGAAAGUCAAGUCUGGCUAUGGGUCCCUAGAGGUUAAGGAACCUCAUGCAUAGAAGGGCCUGCCACCUUUGUCCCCCUCAGCCAGCCAGCCAGAGAGGAAGCUGGUACUGGAGGGGGAGCAGGAUUAUUGGUGGCAUUUCAGCGGAUGGGGCAGUUUACAGGGCUGUCUUUGAAUUCUGUGAACCCAAGUCUUUUUUCUCUUUCCUCAUUUCACAAUUUAACACGUUAGUGUUCCUGAUUCCUCCCUCACAUUCUUUCUGCUCCUUGAAUAGCUUUACCUGGAAAGAGAAAUGAUACUAGCAAGAGGAAAGCCCGAUCCCACCGUCUGUCACAGCUGCAGCAUGCAAUUCCCCACUACUACUUAAUUCCACGCUCACACUACAAAUAUAGGGCACCCAUUUUAGAACUGUUACGCAAAAAGUGUUCCUCAUUUCAGUAUGCUACGUUUUAUUUCCAUCUACAAAAUGAUGCUUACUACCAAUGGACAUUGAGAAAAAUACAGUGUAAUUAAUGUCAGUUAAUCAAGUUGGUGGCCCUUGAAGAUCUAUAAAAUGUAACUGUAACACAUUUUUACAGAAGGGCUUGGACAGAAUAAUUAGGAAAUAGUAAAUGCUGACAUCAUCAGUAUUACUUGUGCAAUUCAGCAAAGGAACAUGAAUGACUAUGGAGGACUGGGGGAGAGCAGAACGGAAGCACCUCUUUGGUGUGAAAUAUGAAGGGUUUACCCUAAGGGGGAGGAGUAAUCAUUUUUCAGCUCUGGUCACAACCUGUUUAUUAAAACAUUAUUUGUUGGAAAAUAGAAAGUAAAACUGAAGGCUUUGGUAUUUCAUCGUAACCGGGCAAACAUGAUUUUCAGAAAUCUUCUUUCUAAAUUUGGAUAUUGAACCUACACAUAUUUUAGAUAAAAAGUUAUCCAUUUUUGUUGCAAUUAGUAAAAACUAGUAAACUCAGGUUUAAUGGACAUGAAGAUAUGAAGUAAACAACGUUCUGAAUUUGUAAAUCAGCUGACACAAAUAGAGGGAAUAUUUAAAAUGUUCUUAGCAAUUGGUACAGCAGGAGCUCAAAUAACCCUAGUGGCUGCAGCCUGGGUGGGAGCAGAGUGCUGGGCAUUAUGCCUUCGGCUGCUGGCUUGGGGGCAUUCCUGGGGGCUCUGGGAGAAGGCUGGGCGGUGUUGCUAAGAGGAGGAACUAUGCUCUGUGAGUGGUGUGGAAAUAGUUCAAAACUUAAAAGUGACAAAGCUGAAGCGGUGAGCACUAGUUGAGUGUCAGUGCUCCGAAUAACUGCUUUUCAUCUUAUAUCUAAAUACGUAGUAAAGUAAUUCUGAUACAAUCUCAUUGUUAUACAAGCUCCUUUAAUAUUAAAACAAGAGAUCCUCAUUUUCUGACCUGUUGGGGACUCAAGGGACUAGGUGUGCUCUGACCCUGUCACCCCAAUGGGAUAUACAUUUCUUGCAGAGUGAGGCAUAUCCCAUGCUCCAAAAUACUUCCCAGGAACCAGUGAAUCACCUUGCAGAAAGCUGUUCCCACAGUGCCAGGCCCCACCGUCCCCUUCUGUUUUCUCUAUGUCACUGAAGGCAAAGAAAUCUUUUGGAUUUUCAGAUGCUACUAUUUACUCAAGUAAGUAUUCUCGGCUGUGAGCAGCUUACACAGCUGCUCGCCCUCCCUAGAGCCUAAGUAUGUCUAUGUGUUUCUUUCUUUCUUCUUUCAUUCAUUCAAACAACUAACUACUGAAAGUAGACUAUUUGUAAAGCAUUUAAAGAGCAGAAAGAGGAAGAGGCCUGGAUUCUACCCUCCAAGGAAUUUUUAUGCUUUCCUAAUAUAAGUUUCUCCAGUAGGAGCCCUAGAUGCAAUUUUUUGGCACUCCACUUUUUAUUAAGUUGUAAUAUGUUAAAAAAAUAAAACAAAAAGGAAGAAGAUUGGUUUUAACCUGUUGGAAAUUAUAAAGAUGUAAUUUUCAGUCAAACGUAUUGUAUUGCCUGAGGGAAACAAAAAUCCUUAAAUACGUAUUUUUUAAAUUUCAGUAUAGAGUACAAAAUUGGACAUCUGAGAUUUUCAAAUACAUUUCUUAUUGCCAUUACAUGACUAUCCAUCUGUGCACAGGGUUAUCCUAGACACUGAAAUUACAUUAAAACAAAGUCAAUUUGCUGAUAUAGAUGAGAACAUUUUAUUCAGAAUCACGGAAUUUUGGAACUCUGAAAAACUUCCAAGAUCACUUAGCUCCAAUUUCAGAGACACUAAGUUACUUACUCAGUGUUUCACAGUCAUUGUGGUAGAAUAAGGCUUUUUUAUACCCAGCACAGCAAUCUUUUGUCUACAUGACAUGAAUGCUAUUUCAAUUAGAUACAAGAGCACAAUGUUUGAAAAGGUUCAACAUAACUGUUGGUUAGAACACUAAAAAAAUAAAGACUCAAAGAUGACAGUAUUUUAAUCAUUUAAAGACAUAGCUCUUAAGGUACCCAAAUUUAACCUAUGGAAGGGCCAGCAGUGUGCUGUAAAUCGCUUAGGAGUUGAAGGUCUGGUUUGAAUGUCGUCCCCAGCAUUUACCAGCUGUGUCAUCAGAGUCACAUCACUUAGCUAACUCUCAGCCUCGGCUUCUUCACUAUAAAAUGGGAUAAUAAUUAACUCAGAGCUGCUGUGCAUUCAUUGAGAUAAUAACUGAAGGGCCUGACAGCGCGUAGGGACUCUAUAAAUGUCAGUCUUCUUUUUGUCUGCCUGGUCCCACUAGGAACUCUGUUUAGAAAGCAUGAAUACACAGAAGUUACUGGAAAAAUGCAACAUUUAGGCUAUAAGCUAAAUGAUAGUAAAGGAUAACAACAUUUGAUCAAAUGUCUGGGACAUGACUAAGCACUUCCCUUACUUGUAAAAUGUUUACUCACAGUUAGUUAUUUAAAACUAAUGCAUAGAUUAUGAAUCAAACAGUAUCCGUUAAACAUGUUAAAAAAUCUAAUCACAGAUUCAUCGUCAAGGAACAAGAUCCUGAAGGAAAAAAACAACAAAUCAAUGCAGUCCACGGGAACACUACGGAAAUUGUUUUGCAAUUAUAAAACCAUGAAUCUGUCUGAAAGUUGAUCAAAACAAAAUGCAUUUUUAAUUCACUCUCAUAUUCGUAUAAUUAACAGACAAUUAUUUUUUAGUUAAAGUUUCUGUUUAAAAUGGCAUGCAGAUUGGAUUACAUGGCACCAGGCCUGCCUCCUGGCUGACAAUGUUCUUACCUCUAACGUUUCAUUUAGGGUCAAAUGAGUAGAAACCUGACACCACCAGCUAGCAGUUAACCCCUGUACAGUGGUGGAAGCUAAAUAUUAGUGGGAGUCUGCAGCCAUCAGGGUAGUGGUUUGAACAGGCAGUACAAUUAACACUAGAAGGGCCGUGAAGAGCAGUGCCUAUGGUUUUACAAAUGCUGUUUUUGCACUCAGAGAUGUAACGAUGCCCCACUGAAAGGAAUCUAUGUUACUAUUCUAUUGAUUCAUUUCUUUGUAUUAAAAAAAAAAUUCCCAAGGCUCUUCUUUACUAACACUUUAGCUUGACAUUGGAGGCCAACCAAAAUCUGGCAUCUGCUCUUCUUUACAGAAACUCCUCCCCUACAGUCCCGUACGUUCCCACUUUCCAGCCUUUUGUCAGCACCCUCCCUCAGCACUUUGACUUCUCCUUAAGGAAGUGCGCAAACCCACCUCCCUGUGCGGGUCAGCUGUGGCUUUCAGGCCUGGAAAGGCAGCGCUCAUUUCCAUUCUUAGAGCAGUUUGUCUUUAGCACCUAUUUUUAUUAGCUAACUUUUCAUUUGUUUGUGUAUGAACUCCCAGCUUAGCCCGUAAGUGCCUUAGGGUUAAUGACAGGUGCUUAGAUAUAAUAGGAACUUAAAUAUUUGUUGACUAAGACAUUCAUAUUCAAAAAUGUGUCGUUUUCAACCUUUUAAAUAGCACCUGAUGCGCUACCUCACAAUUUAAAAAGAUAAGAAGUCUUUUAAGACAAUAAACAAACAUUCACUUUACAAAGAUACUGGGAAAGCUCCAUUCCCUUUUUGGAAAAAGUAAGGAUUAAGAUUUUUCAAAAGACUAUAUGGGACAAAUAGCCAUCAAAGAUUGAUUCUUAAGUCUAAGAAACAUUUUAGUUCCUGCAAGAACUCCUUGGCUAUAAACAAAAAAAUUUUUGGAGUAUUAUAAUUUUCUAUUUUAAAUGUCAAGAAUAGCAAUAAGCAAAUAGAGCCGAUCAAAUUUAAGAGAACAGAAAACAUUUUACUCGUGAUUAAUUACUGAUGUUAGAGGAGAACCAUUUUUAGUGUCAACACAUUAAAUGACAAUUUUUCACAGCGAAAAAAAGUUAUUAUAAGAAUCUUCAAUUGGAGGAUCACAUAUACAUAUAUACCUGUAUGUUGUAAAUUGUGUUAAGCUGAUACUCUUGUAAUAAUAUGACAAGAGUCUUUCCACAUUAAUUUUUAGAUGUGUGAGCUUUUUGAAGGCAAGUGAUAUACCCCAAGAAUUUUAGUAUUCCUCAUUGCACUUACCAUAUGUUGGGUAAUUAACGGUGUAACAUACACCUAAAACGCCUGAUGCAGGAGGGUGAGAAAGAAAGGGGAGGGAUACAGUGGGUACCUGAAGACAGUGCAGUUGUCUCGGUGAAAGGCAUCACCCUGCAUGGACCCGGUUUUGCCCUGAAUGGGACCAGCUACUACUACUCUUAAGCAUCAGCCAUCUCUCCUCUGAAAUCUGGCUAUUCACGCCUACCUCAAAUGUUUGCUGUGCAGAUCAAAAGAAAUAACGUAGCUAAGGGUUUUGCACAGUUCCUGGGGAAUAACGAGUACUUAAUACUUCUUUGAACAUAUUUUUAGUGAGUGCCUAUAUGUUCCACGUGCUGUUCUAUGUGCUGGGAAUUCCACAUAGAGAAAAAUAGUCUUCACUGUCAUGGAGCUUAUAGGCGGGGAAGGUUGCAAAUUUAUCCAUAAAGCACAUCAGGUGGAAACAAAUGCUAUGAAAAAAUUUAAAGGGGGGGGGGUAGGCAGAUAGAAUAAGAGAGAACAUGUGUGUGUGCACACGCAUCCAAGCAUGCACUAUUUUAUAUAGGGUGGUAAGGGAAGCCUUUUCUGUUAAGACCUGGGAAAAGGUGGGAGGCAGGCAUGCAGACAUGGGAAAAGCUUGCAAGGGGAGGGAACACCAAGGGCAAAGUCCUGGAGUAGAAAGCAUGCUUGGCCUGUUUAAGGAUCAGGAGGGAUUCCAGGGGGUAGAGCCCAGCGCACUGGGGGAAGAGAGGACACAAGGUCAGCGAGGCAGCAGCGGGCCAGAGCACGUGGGGGCUCACAGGCCUUGGUAAAAUCUUUGGGUUUUUCAUCUGAUGGGGAAAACCACUGAAGAACUGCGAGCAGAGAAGUGAAGUGAUAGUAUGUAUACUUGGAAAGGCAAUACAUAGCAGCUAUUAUCAAAUGCUAUAACCAUAAGGGAUUGAAUACGAGGGAAAUGAAUACUGCCUCUCACUGCUCUUUAACUCUGAUCUAGCUCACCUAGAUUAUAAGAACUAGGUGAGUCAUAUGAAACGGCAGUUUCUAUGGGUCAAAAAUUUCAACCUAACUUGUUGGACAGGGUUAGUAGAAGGGCAAAGAACAUGGGCUUUAGAAUAAAAUAUAAGCGGAUUUGAAUCCCAGACGCAGGACUCAUAAGCUAUAUGGUUUUGGGCAAGUUACUUAACCUCCUUCUCCUUGGGUUUCCCCUGUGUAAAAUAAGGCCUUGGCCAACCUAAGCCACAAGGUUGAACUGAAGAUUAAAUGAGAUAUUCAUGUAAAGCAUUUAGCACAGGGCCUAGGAGCUUAAUAAACAAGUGAACCAAUUAAGAAGGGAGAUGGAAUCUUCUAUAGUAGCAAAUCAAACGAAUAACUUGGUACCAAAACUCUUCAAAACUACCUAUCACUUUCCUAGGUACUGAGAAAGCACACCUUACAUUAGUUUUUAAAGAGACAACAGCUUUUUGAUCAAAUUAUAUUCCUUGCAUUUAUAAAUUCAUCCUUUAAACAGAUAAUUAAGUAGGUAAAUAUUCCACGGCUCUAUUAACAGCGAUGGAUGUUGGAGAACUUGAAAUAUUUGAGUUAAAUGUUUUUAACUCUGUCUACUUAAGGAAUUCCAUUUCCUCUAUCAAAGUAACUUACUUUUAAAAACAAACUCAUUCUUAUGUUCUUCAAAAGAACAGGCUAGAAGCUACUUGCCACUCAAAGAGUAUUUGUUUGAAAUUCAUGUAGUAGUUUCAACACAACUCAAAAGUAUUCCUCAGAAUCGGUUUGAAACAAAAUUUUACCAAAAAUCCCACUUAAGGUCUUCACAGUUAAAGCGCAGUGGACAUGAUUAGCACAUAUUUCAGCUCGUGUUAACUCUCACAAUGGUCAGUCUGAUAUUGAAUAAUUUUGUCUAUAUUAAUUGAACACGUCAUAAAGAGCUGGCAGUAAAAUGCAGAUGCAGAUGUAGUGCCUGACAACAUUCUAUAAACCCGGGAACUACACUGCUGUAGUUCAGAAAAUUCUUUCCCAAACCAACCUAAAUAUUUGAAAUCCAUCAUAUUACUUGGAAAACCUCUUGCCCGCUGUACGAUUAUUUUGGCAAGUUUGCAAAUACGAACGUCGACUCUCGCUUUUCGACCUAAGCGCAGUACAUGCUCUUUAUUUCAAUUGUUACUGUGGCUGCAUUUUACUACUGGGCACGGAUGCCAUCGCAAAGCGCAGCAUCGCCCACACCAUCGCGUUCUCCUCGCUGCUCCGUGCGCCGCGGCGCCCUGUCCUGUGACCGGCUCCCGGAAUAACGGCAUGCUGCGACAAAGCACAGCCUGUCCCCAAAGGCGCGCCCGCCGCUCGCACAGCUCCUGCGCCGGCAGCGGCGACGCCGUCGGGGCGACGAGGGGCGCCCAUGCGGGGCCCGCCGCUCCGCAGGCUCCUUCGCGCCGCGCGGCUCCCGAAGCCGGAGGGGACCGCAGGGACACCGGGGAUCCUCACGCGGUCCCGCCAGCUUUGCAGCGACACGCGGAGCCCACCGUGAAUAAGUCCUACCGAGGCGGACCCGGG
rnacentral:lncRNA from 1 species